rnacentral:rRNA from 1 species
GAUGAACGCUGGCGGCGUGCCUAAUACAUGCANGUAGAACGCUGAAGCUUGGUGCUUGCACCGAGCGGAUGAGUUGCGAACGGGUGAGUAACGCGUAGGUAACCUGCCUCUUAGCGGGGGAUAACUAUUGGAAACGAUAGCUAAUACCGCAUAAAAGACGAUAUCGCAUGAUAUUGAUUUGAAAGGUGCAAUUGCAUCACUAAGAGAUGGACCUGCGUUGUAUUAGCUAGUUGGUGAGGUAACGGCUCACCAAGGCAACGAUACAUAGCCGACCUGAGAGGGUGAUCGGCCACACUGGGACUGAGACACGGCCCAGACUCCUACGGGAGGCAGCAGUAGGGAAUCUUCGGCAAUGGGGGCAACCCUGACCGAGCAACGCCGCGUGAGUGAAGAAGGUUUUCGGAUCGUAAAGCUCUGUUGUAAGAGAAGAACGAGUGUGAGAGUGGAAAGUUCACACUGUGACGGUAACUUACCAGAAAGGGACGGCUAACUACGUGCCAGCAGCCGCGGUAAUACGUAGGUCCCGAGCGUUAUCCGGAUUUAUUGGGCGUAAAGCGAGCGCAGGCGGUUAGAUAAGUCUGAAGUUAAAGGCUGUGGCUUAACCAUAGUACGCUUUGGAAACUGUUUAACUUGAGUGCAGAAGGGGAGAGUGGAAUUCCAUGUGUAGCGGUGAAAUGCGUAGAUAUAUGGAGGAACACCGGUGGCGAAAGCGGCUCUCUGGUCUGUAACUGACGCUGAGGCUCGAAAGCGUGGGGAGCAAACAGG